GACGAACGCUGGCGGCGUGCCUAAUACAUGCAAGUCGAGCGAAGCGGCGGAUGGGUGAGUAACGAGUUGGUAAGCUGCCCUUAAGUCUGGGAUACCAUUUGGAAGCAGAAGCUAAUACCGGAUACUAAAGGAUGGACCUGCGAUGCAUUAGCUAGUUGGUAAGGUAACGGCUUACCAAGGCGAUGAUGCCUAGCCGAGUUGAGAGACUGAUCGGCCACAUGGGGACUGAGACACGGCCCAAACGCCUACGGGAGGCAGCAGUAGGGAAUCUUCCACAAUGGACGAAAGUCUGAUGGAGCAACGCCGCUUGAGUGAAGAAGGUUUUCGGAUCGUAAAGCUCUGUUGUUGGUGAAGCGGUAAUCAACCAGAAAGUCACGGCUAACUACGUGCCAGCAGCCGCGGUAAUAC
rnacentral:rRNA from 1 species